rnacentral:misc_RNA from 1 species
GAAGGAUUGCUUUCCUUGUUUCUGUGGUAAAAACGCAUGCUUUCAGUGUUUGAUAUUAGCACACAGCGUGGACAGAUAAUGGAGGGCUCUGGGAAGUCAUUUGUUUUGUAGAUGAUGUCUAUUAUUAUGCAAUCUGUUAUGCCAUUUCUUUGAAAAUUAUCAAACAUUUACUGGAACUAUUUGUGGAUGAUUGUAUGAAAUAAAUCUGAUUGCCUAAU